GCUAUUAUUAACCUAGGUUAGACAGAGAUCACGAGCCCAUGGUUUUGCGUAAACCCCCAAGCACCAUUUCUUUGCCUAGGCUAGAGAGAGAUCACUAGCCCAUGGUUUUGCGUAAACCCCCAGAGAGAGAUCACAAGCCCAUGGUUUUGCGUAAACCGCCAAGCGCCACUUCUCCGAUUGACAAUCAGCCAUCAAUACUUUGCCAUCAAUACUUUCUACAGUACUCCAUAUCAAUACUUUGGACACUUCGUCAUUCAUGGAAAAGUAAAGUUUACGACAGAAUUCUCAGAGAGAUUUUAAAGAGAGAGAGAGCUUGCUGCGAUGAAAAAAAAAAAAAAGUACUCUUUAGAUAACUAAAAUAAUAUCGGUUAGGAUUUCGAUAGUAACAACAUGAUUUAUA
rnacentral:lncRNA from 1 species